AGCAGUCUGAUUUCACCCUUGAAAAAGCCUCUGGAAGCCCCAGCCUUUUCCAUUCUCUCAGCAGCUAGGAAAGAAGGGGUAUUUGCUGAGUUCAAAGGAUUCAAUACAUAAAAGUAAAUUAAGUGUAUCACCUCAUAUGUUGAUAUUUUUAUAUUGUCAAGGCCUAAGACCUAGUAGUAUUGAGCAUACCUGGUCCAUGUUAGUCACUGACACCUUGAAUCACUCCACAGAUCUGUUUACUUGGAUUAAGCUCUACAUUUAUUUCUAGGAAAUAGCCAUUCAUAAAGAAGAAUUUCAUCUGAAACUUUUCAUGUGUGUGAUUCAGUCUCGCUGGUUAGUCAGGACUCCUCAGAGAACAGCUGGGGGAAGCUUCCACUUCCAGCAUGCUCAUACCAAAGCUACGACCAAAGACAGAUACCUUGGAGAGUCUAGAUACUGUGGAUGAUCCAGAUCCCAUGGAAGGCAUACCUGUUUUCAAAACUGGCUCAACAGGAGAUGAGAAAAAGAACUACACACUUUCCCUGUUUCCCAUGAGCUGAUGAUCAAGGAGGAGAGAUAAUAUGAAAUAACGUCGAUCUUGAUAUAGAUCUGUACCCAUUCCAAGUCAUGGUGGUAGUGUAUGGAUUCAUGGACAUGACACAAAACAUUUCUUUAUUGCCCUCAUCUAUGUCAGGCUCUGCCAUUCAUUGUAAAAAUAAAG